GAAUAUUGCACAAUGGGCGCAAGCCUGAUGCAGCCAUGCCGCGUGUGUGAAGAAGGCCUUCGGGUUGUAAAGCACUUUCAGCGGGGAGGAAGGCGUUAAGGUUAAUAACCUUGGCGAUUGACGUUACCCGCAGAAGAAGCACCGGCUAACUCCGUGCCAGCAGCCGCGGUAAUACGGAGGGUGCAAGCGUUAAUCGGAAUUACUGGGCGUAAAGCGCACGCAGGC
rnacentral:rRNA from 1 species